GCCUGGGUGGCUCAGUUGGUUGAGCGUCCGACUUCAGCUCAGGUCAUGAUCUCGCGGUCUGUGAGUUUGAGCCCCACGUCAGGCU
rfam:Felis catus isolate Cinnamon breed Abyssinian chromosome A2, whole genome shotgun sequence.